rnacentral:lncRNA from 1 species
UAUCUAAAACUUUUUGAUUUUAAAAUUCUAAUUUUAAUUAACAUCGAGAUAAUAAUAAUUUUUUUUAAACUCUCAAAUGACAAUAAAAAAAUAAUUUAUAAAAAAUAAUAUAUUUUAAUAAAUUUUUAUUAAAAAAGGAGAAAGUUACCUUGAUCGCUCCAAACCUCCCACUUGAUUAAGAUGGAUCUAAUCUUCCUAUUUAGCUGCUCCAAGCCUCUCACCUG